CAUUAUCAGGAAGUCAGCCCACUGUGUUAACAGUGUUCCUUGCCUCAAUAAACUUGUCUUUUCUUCAUCUUGCUCUGAAUCUGGAAAAUUCUUCUUUCUGACCUGCAGUUGCUAAAACAAAAACUCCUGACAACACAAAUUGCUGGUGAGAAAUACAAUAUUGCCUCCUAUAGCAGUAAAUAAAGAUGUCACAGUCUUCAGCAAUUGCAGCCACCUCUGAGCUGGUGAGCCCUGAGGGAACUCAGGAAGGAACAAAGAAUACCUGCCAUCU
rnacentral:lncRNA from 1 species